rnacentral:rRNA from 1 species
GUUUGNUCAUGGCUGAGGAUGAACGCUGGCGGCGUGCUUAACACAUGCAAGUCGAACGAUGAUCUCCAGCUUGCUGGGGGGAUUAGUGGCGAACGGGUGAGUAACACGUGAGUAACCUGCCCUUGACUCUGGGAUAAGCCUGGGAAACUGGGUCUAAUACCGGAUAUGACCAUCUGGCGCAUGUCAUGGUGGUGGAAAGCUUUUUUGUGGUUUUGGAUGGACUCGCGGCCUAUCAGCUUGUUGGUGGGGUAAUGGCCUACCAAGGCGACGACGGGUAGCCGGCCUGAGAGGGUGACCGGCCACACUGGGACUGAGACACGGCCCAGACUCCUACGGGAGGCAGCAGUGGGGAAUAUUGCACAAUGGGCGCAAGCCUGAUGCAGCGACGCCGCGUGAGGGAUGACGGCCUUCGGGUUGUAAACCUCUUUCAGUAGGGAAGAAGCGUAAGUGACGGUACCUGCAGAAGAAGCGCCGGCUAACUACGUGCCAGCAGCCGCGGUAAUACGUAGGGCGCAAGCGUUAUCCGGAAUUAUUGGGCGUAAAGAGCUCGUAGGCGGUUUGUCGCGUCUGCUGUGAAAGACCGGGGCUCAACUCCGGUUCUGCAGUGGGUACGGGCAGACUAGAGUGCAGUAGGGGAGACUGGAAUUCCUGGUGUAGCGGUGAAAUGCGCAGAUAUCAGGAG